UGCAGAGCCUGGUGCGAGGCUCAAUCUCAUGACCCAUGAGACCAUGACCUGAGCCAAAACCAAGAGUCAGACGCUCAACCAGCUGAGCCACCCAGGUGCCCCUUGACAGUUUCUUACAAAGCUUACACAUGGUCUUAUUACAUGAUCCAGCAAGCGUGCUUUAGUGUCUACAUGAAGAAAGGGUGAUCAUAUACCUGAACCGCCCAGGAUGUCCCAGCUUGCAUCAGUUGUUCAGAUGGAAAAGCUGGAGCUCAGAAGCUCAUUCUAAGACCAUACAAUUCAUCAUUGGCAGAUCCUGCAAUUACACCUUCAUCUCUAUGACUGCAGAGCUCAUGUGCUUUCUACUGGAGUAUGAGAAUGCUGGAGAGAAGCCAGGUCAGUUUCAAGCUGCUGAUGUGAUGUUACUCAACUCCACAUGGGGAUGAGAAGAUCUGACAGCUGGUUCAGCUAGUUCCCAGGACACCACUGGUUCCCCAUACACCUCUGGUUCUGACUCUGCACUAUGAUGUUGAGUUCGGCUACUUUCCUGGCUUUUCUAGAUUUUUUAUUGCGGACCCCACCUUCUCACCCAGUUUUGCUGCCCAGUCCUUGCAGGUGCUCACUGACCUCAGGUCCCAGGAUUAUCUCCUGCUACUUCUGCUCUUCGUGCUUUAGCUAGCAUUGCCACCUUUGGGUCCUGAGAGCCCUACUUCAUCCUUCUGCUUAUUCAUUUGCUCCUCAGUAUUUUAUGGACAAACUAAAGGCCUUCUUCCUCCAUAAAAUCUUCUCAGCAUACACACAGGUAUCAUUCAUGUCUUUCCCAAAAUAAUAGGGCAUAUGGAGGGACAAUAUCUAAUCUUAGUAAUGGGGAUGUUACUGAUCAUCCAAAAGACAGCAGUAUGGUAUCAAGGAAACAGUUCUUUGGCUGCAAAGACAGAACUGCACUCCUAAUUCUGCUGCUCUUAAUCUGAGUGGUUAUGAGCAAGUCACUGUGAUGCUCUGAGUCUUGGCUUUCUCAUCUGUAAAAUGAAGGUCAUAAAACACAGGACUUCAAAGAAUAUUUUCAACUUCUACUAUUCUAUAAUUAAGGUACUUUAUAUAAACAAAAAUCAGAGGAACUGCUCUUAUUGUUAAAAUUCAAGAUCCUUUUGAUUUUGAAGUAAUUCAGCUUCACCAUGUUCUAUUUAUAAUCACCUUUUUGUAAUAUUUCAUGUUAAAAAUAAUCCUGUUCAUCAUUAGCCUUCAUCUCAAUUCCUCUGUAAGAUCUACUUCAUACCUUUACAACAGAUAAAAUGAUGCAUAGGUACUUUUGAAGAGUGGAUUAAGCAAAUAUUAAAGUAAUAAUUUUUAACUAACUUCAUAAAAGUGAUUGUGUCAAAAACUUAAAAAUGUGAAAGUACCUAGGUAGAAAACUUCUUAAAAAAUGAA